rnacentral:pre_miRNA from 1 species
AAAAAGACAAACCCUAUUUUUCGUGCUCAAUGUUUGACCGUCCGUCUUAUUUGAAAAAAUUAUAAAAAAAAUUAAAAAGACAAGUCACGUAUAAAAUAUUAAUCAUGUUUUAUCAUCUAACAACAAUGGAAAUACGAAUUAUAAAAAAAUUUCAUAUAAGACGGACAGUCAAAGUUGGACAUGAAAACUCAGGGUUUGCCUUUUU